rnacentral:rRNA from 1 species
GACGAACGCUGGCGGCGUGCCUAAUACAUGCAAGUCGAGCGGAACUGGGGGAGCUUGCUCCUUCCAGUUUAGCGGCGGACGGGUGAGUAACACGUGGGCAACCUGCCCUGCAGAUCGGGAUAACUCCGGGAAACCGGUGCUAAUACCGAAUGGUUUGGCGCCUCCCCUGAGGCGCUACGGAAAGACGGUUUCGGCUGUCACUGCAGGAUGGGCCCGCGGCGCAUUAGCUAGUUGGUGGGGUAACGGCCCACCAAGGGGACGAUGCGUAGCCGACAUGAGAGGGUGACCGGCCAGACUGGGACUGAGACACGGCCCAGACUCCUACGGGAGGCAGCAGUAGGGAAUCUUCCGCAAUGGACGCAAGUCUGACGGAGCAACGCAGCGUGAGUGACGAAGGUUUUCGGAUCGUAAAACUCUGUUGUGAGGGAAGAACACGUACCAACUAACUAUUGGUACCUUGACGGUACCUCGCCAGAAAGCCACGGCUAACUACGUGCCAGCCGCCGCCGUAA